rnacentral:rRNA from 1 species
AACGAACGCUGGCGGCAUGCCUAACACAUGCAAGUCGAACGAGAUCUUCGGGUCUAGUGGCGCACGGGUGCGUAACGCGUGGGAAACUGCCCUUUGGUUCGGAAUAACAGUUGGAAACGACUGCUAAUACCGGAUGAUGACGAAAGUCCAAAGAUUUAUCGCCAGAGGAUGAGCCCGCGUAGGAUUAGCUAGUUGGUGUGGUAAAGGCGCACAAAGGCGACGAUCCUUAGCUGGUCUGAGAGGAUGAUCAGCCACACUGGGACUGAGACACGGCCCAGACUCCUACNNNNNGCAGCAGUGGGGANUAUUGGACAAUGGGCGAAAGCCUGAUCCAGCAAUGCCGCGUGAGUGAUGAAGGCCUUAGGGUUGUAAAGCUCUUUUACCCGNGAUGAUAAUGACAGUACCGGGAGAAUAAGCUCCGGCUAACUCCGUGCCAGCCGCCGCGGUAA